AUAUUGCGUUAGGGAUUGAAACGGCAUCCUUUUUUUCUCUUUUCAGAAAAAAAGAUAUAGUAUAAAGCCCGCCCGAAC
rnacentral:sRNA from 1 species